GCUGGAAAAGGGAGCAGGAUGAAAUACAGCGUGGGCUAAAUGGCACCACCUACAGCUCCUGUCUAGACCUUGGAACUGCGACUACGACCUUUACGUGGGGAAGAACAAGUCCUGGAAUUUAUGUACCCUCGGCCUGCCUUUGCCAACACGACGAUGUCGGUGUGAUGGGAGCUCUGUGCUGUGAUGGUGGAACAAGCUUGAACCAUUGUGUUAAAUGAUGGACAGCUGAAUUCCUGUUCAGUGAUUCUCAUGGCUCCGUGGCGGUGACGCAUCCAGAUGGGAAAGCAGAAAUGCGGUGCAUGGGAAAGAGCUUUGGCAUCUCACACACCGCGGACCAAGAAUACACGGAAGGACUCAUGAGGGCAAGGUGGAUGACUGCCAGUUUGUCUGCGUUGCCCAGCAAUGAGCCAAGUAGAAAAGAACCUGCAGAGAGUCGAGGAAGAAGGAGAGAUGGCGAUACUGAAGGGGCACUGAGAACCUGAUGGGACUGGAGCAAGGAAGAGCCACAUUGUCAUCAAGUUAGGGGCACCUCAGAGGGCUGACCAUACAUUUGGUAGAAUAGCAUUCUGUAGUGGACUCAACACUCAAACAAGACUUCCUGUCGACAUACUGGACUUUCCUUCCAGCCCGAUGGAAGUGGGCAAGAAGUUAUUGGAGCGGUUCAAUGGCCCGAGCCUCAGGGCUAAGCUUGGAAAUGCAUUCUAUUUUAGCCCCUAGAUGUGAACUACUAGAAGAUAAAAUUUGGAAUAUCAUUUAUCCUCACAUUAAUUUAAUGAAAACAAUGAAGAAGAUAACUGAUGCAGAUAUUGUAAGAGAUUGUAAGAACCUGUAAGAGAUUUCUAUACUCUCAGUCUCAGAAAUACUUUCUUACUUUAAACACAAGCUCAGUGUAUGGUUCUCUUGGGAAUAUGGUAAAACAACCAAAUGUCUGCAUGCCAGACCACAGCAUGGCUUGGUGGGCCGUGUGUGCCUGGUGGAUGUUAGAUGUUUGCAACACUGGGCCAGCUUGCCCUCCUGUGCUGCUGAAGGCCUUGGGGCCCUUUUCUGAUCUGAUCAUCCAGCAGCUUUUGUGAGCUCUGUCAAGGCCACACUCGAUGAACAGCUUCCCAUACAAGUGUUGGCUCCUCCCCUUCACAACCUUCCCCACCCAGAGCUUUCUAGAUUACUGCUCUUUGCUUUCUUCGUCUAAUCUGCCCUUGAACUUUGUAGUUUCUGUCUGAUAAUUUGU
rnacentral:sRNA from 1 species